rnacentral:rRNA from 1 species
GGUUUCUUGGUAUAAUAUAAGAAAUCUAGCCUGCCCAAUGAAUUUUAAAUGGCCGCGGUACUUUGACCGUGCGAAGGUAGCAUAAUCAAUUGUCUAUUAAUUGUAGACUGGAAUGAAUGGUUGGACUUAAAAUUAAUUGUCUUUAAUAUAAUUUGAACUUUGGGUUUUUAUGAGGAUUUAAAAGUGAAGCUAAUAGACGAGAAGACCCUAUUGAGCUUAAUAUUAAAAUUAUGUAAAUUUAUAGAGAUAYUAAUAAUUAAAAAUAUUUUACUGGGGCGGUAAAUAAUAAUAAUAACAUUAUAGUCUAUUAAAACUUAUAGGUGAUUUAUGAUCCAAUAUUAUUGAUUAAAAGAACAAGUUACUGUAGGGAUAACAGCGUAAUUUAAUUUAGGAGCUCAAAUCUAUAAUUAAGAUUGCGACCUCGAUGUUGGUUUAGGAUACCUUUAAAUAAAUUAAUGGUGCAGGCACUAUAAAAGGUAGUCUGUUCGACUAUUAAAUUCCUAUA